ACAGUCAUCUAUAAUAUUUAUGCUCUUGGAUAACCUGAGCUAAGCACUUUCACUGUGAAAGAGUAUUCACUGUGGGCAGAAUUUAUUGUCCAGAUCACCUGCUAGAGAGCGCACUCUGACCCCAGAGAUGAAAGGGAAGUUGAAAACAAAGACAUCUGGUCUUCCAGCAUGUAGCUGGGCAGCAGAAGACAAUCACACUCCGCUUUGCCGUGCAAAAUCAGAGGUCAGACUAGAUGGCUUUCAGGCUGUUCUCCCUGGACUACAGAGACCAGGGUCUGGAAACAGUUAUGGAUUGUCUGUGGAAAAGAAGAAAAGGGAGAGGAAGAGGAGGAGAAGGACAAUGAAGACAAGGAGAAGAAGGAAACUUAUUCCA